GCAGGGAGACCAAUGUGGGACUCGAUCCCGGAUCUGAGAUCACGCUCUGAGCCAAAGGCAGGCGCUCAACUGCUGAGCCACCCAGGUGUCCCUAAAUUUAGCUUUUAAAGGGUUAAUUCCAUAAAAUGCUAAACGUCCUGGACAUGGCUAGAAGAAUCUGGUUACCCCUAGGAUAAUAGAACCUAAAUCUAGAUGAUAUUUAGAAAUCAUCUAGUAAAACUCACACAUUUUCCUGGUGAAACAGGGGAUCAAAAGAGGAAGUAAUUUGAUUACAAUCAUAUAGGGGGUUCGUGGCAGAACUGGAAGUCUCCUGGUUUUCUGAUUUAGUGUUUCUUCUGUCUUAAACCACCUAAGAAACCACACUGCCUCACCCAUGUGUACACAGGUAAAGGAUUCCAAAACCUUUAUCCUUCCAUCCAUCCAUCCAUCCAUCCAUCCAUCCAUCCAUCCAUCCAUGCUUCAUCUGUCCAUUAAAAUAAAUAACAUUUAUCGUCUAUCUUCUCUGUUUGGGGCAUUCUACUAGAUCCUGGGGGUGUAAGAAUAAAGGAUGCCAUCUGCAUCUUUGAGAAGCACAUCACAAGGGUUCUCUGCUGAAGUGUUGCACAGUUUCCAGCAGGAAUGCAGAGGGAUCUGAUUGGAGGGAAUCCAAGAGGGCCACCCAGGAAAUCUGAUCCUCACAGGAUAGGGAGUGUGGUCCUCCAACAUGGUUCUUCUUGAAAAUUCUUUUGAUUUUUUGAGUUCCUUUGCCUCUUCAUAUGUAUUUUAGAACCAGUUUGUUAAAACCUACAGAAGCAUGGAUACAGCACUUUUUCUGUAAGUUUGGAUUUCUUUCUUCCCAGGGCUCAGGCGAGGAAGUGUAACUGUGGCUGCGCUCUCAUAGGGACCAGAGAGAACCAGAUCAGCAAGCACCCGGGAGGCCUUCUUUCCGACCUGGGGAAGCGCCGACUCCAGGCAAGGCCCAUUCCUCACCGCCAGGAGUGCUGGGUACUGAACCAGCUCGGAGCGAGUUCCCCAAGUCAUGUUUACACUGUCAUGCUGUGCAAAUUGGAGAGUUUGUUUCCAGGAACAUCUGGGAGGACCAGCUGGACACGUGUUUCCCUUCUCAUUAAUUUAGGCUCCUAAUUAAUCGUGCAAAACCCAAACCAAAUAAGCAGGAACCAGGACUGAAAAUAAUCAUUAAGCCCCCCAAACACGCACACAUUUUAAUGAAAACUUGGCCCAGGUGAUUGGACCUCUCUUGGCUCAGCACUGUGGCUCUAACAGGGGAGUUCACCAGGGAGAAAUGCCUGGGGAAGCAGGCAGAUUUCUAUCCUCUGUUGGGCAGCACAAGACCUAAAGGGCCAGGGGGACUUGGGACCAGCUUCUUAUUUGUUCCUAAGGAAUGGAUUCCGCCCCACCCGCAUCCCCUGGGGUGAAGCAUACUGUGGACAUUCCAGGGAGAUAGCCAGAGUUCAAACCCUCCAGAGAGUGGGCCUCAAUGUCCACAUCUGUAAAAUAGGAUUAAUGAUAGUCUCUGCUCCACAAGGCUAUUGUGAGGAUGGAGUGGGAUAAUUUAUUUAAGGUACUUUGUUCCAGACUUGGCACCUUGCGAACUGGAUCACUGGUAGCCGUUAUUGUCAAAGGUGGCUGUAGAUCAUUAUUCUUACUAAUAAUCUCCUUCUCUGCCUCUGAUGAUAAUGACUAGUCAGAGAUGCCAACUCAUGGAAAUGAAAAUCCAUUUCCUGACUUUGUCAUGCGUCUUGGUCCAGAAGAGGCCAGCUGAAGGCACAAUUUUGGCCGCCACACUCACGAUAUAGUUUUCUUUUCUGAUUCUGACAGCAUCUUGGGUUAAGGUCCCCCUCCAGCUUUAUAGAAUCAGAAGAAAGAGGUUAGCAAUGUAUCCUCGUGGGUGAUGGCCAUCGUGGCCAGGAUGGAGCAGGACAUCUGGUGGGGUUGUGAGCUCCAUUAUGCCUCCUGAACAGAGUCUAGAAAAUGCUGGUUUUGCAACCUAAUCACAUGCUGAGCACAAGGCUUCCUACUUCGAGGAAAAACAGAGUUAAAAAGAUUUAUUGAAAGGAUUCCAAGGGCAUCGUGAACAUCAAACAGCUGUGCAAAGGGGGCUGGAGGUAGAAGUGCGUGUGCA
rnacentral:lncRNA from 12 species